rnacentral:rRNA from 1 species
AGACCCGAAACCCGGUGAUCUAGCCAUGGGCAGGUUGAAGGUUGGGUAACACUAACUGGAGGACCGAACCGACUAAUGUUGAAAAAUUAGCGGAUGACCUGUGGCUGGGGGUGAAAGGCCAAUCAAACCGGGAGAUAGCUGGUUCUCCCCGAAAGCUAUUUAGGUAGCGCCUCGUGAAUUCAUCUCCGGGGGUAGAGCACUGUUUCGGCUAGGGGGCCAUCCCGGCUUACCAACCCGAUGCAAACUGCGAAUACCGGAGAAUGUUAUCACGGGAGAC